rnacentral:misc_RNA from 1 species
AACGCACAUUGCGCCCCUUGGCAUUCCGAGGGGCAUGCCCGUUCGAGCGUCAUUACACCACCUCAAGCCCGGCUUGGUCCUGGGCGUCUCCCGGGGGGGCCGGCUCGGCCUCCUCCCCCCGGGCGCCCCGAAUUCACCGGCCGGCCGCCGCCGCCCACCGCGUUGUGACACGCUUUCAUGCCCGCGGACCCGGCGGGCGACGGCCGGCGCCAGCACGUACAUUCGCAUCAGGUUGACCUCGGAUCGGGCAGGGAUACCCGCUGAACUUAA